rnacentral:rRNA from 1 species
UACGUAGGCAGCAAGCGUUGUUCGGAAUUACUGGGCGUAAAGAGUGUGUAGGCGGUGCUCCAAGUCUGGUGUGAAAUCUCCCGGCUCAACUGGGAGGGUGCGCCGAAUACUGAAUGACUCGAGUGCGGGAGAGGAGAGUGGAAUUCCUGGUGUAGCGGUGAAAUGCGUAGAUAUCAGGAGGAACACCGGCGGUGUAGACGGCUCUCUGGACCGUAACUGACGCUGAGACACGAAAGCGUGGGUAGCAAACAGG